GCCUGCUGUCGCCGCCCGCCCGUGCCGCUCCGCUCUCACCGCCCCAAGGAUACCUGCCUCAUUUGAUGGAUCUGUUAGCAUUUGAGAUUUUCUUCUGGUCUCAGUGUACUCCAUGGUCCUGCUGUCCAGCCUGUCUCUCUGCUCCCUGUCGCUGCUCCUCAUGGAGGCAAGAAGAGCAGAGGGGCCAAGGAGGCAGUGUGAGAAUGGAAUUAGAUGGUGGAGACCUGUUCCAGUGCUGUACUCCCCAUAGGUUCCCUGCCAUAUAUGUGUGGCUGGUAGGCUGGAUGGGCAGUCUUUUUCCAGGCUGCUCAUGCAAACUUCAGCCAGCCACUUGACACGCCUCAUCACCUCUCAGCCUUCAGGAGGGAGUCCUGACCUGACAGAUCUGAGCAACUCCAUCAGCCUAGGACAGCUGUUGAUGAAUCUGAUCAGAUGGGACUACUCACAGUAGUAACCAUUAUGCUGUGUAGUAAAUGCUUGCUGGAUGAGGCCCUUAAUUAUUUCCUCUCUAUUAAUAAGAAGCAAAUAGAGAAUGGCUUCAGCUCUGGCAGUUCUGUAAUCUCUGGAUUAUAAAGUUGUCUUGUCUUUUUAGAAUCUUCUUUGAAAUAUGUAUGGCUGUAUUCGUUAUUAAGCAGAUACCUGGGUAUCUGAAAUCCACAUAAUUAACAAAAAUAUGGCACUUUGCCUUAUCUGCCUUUCCUUUUCUUUCCAAGUGUUAUAGUAUUGCUGAAACUGAUUUCUGAUUUACUGCAGUGUAGCCAUUGUGGAUUACUAGGAAACAUGCUUGUCAGUAUUCUUAUAAUCCAGUACUGCCAUAUUGCAAGAACACAUGAGCCCCAAAGCAAAAUGUAAGAUAACAAAUUCAGCCAGUGAAAAAGGUGAAAAUUGACUUCGAGGUGAUGAUAGAAUAGUGAGAAGUUAGAGCUUCAGAAAUUUUCCCUGGAGUUGUCAUCCUUGUACUCUAUCUUAAUUUGAAUUGAUGUGAAUAUAGGAUAGAGAAAUCUCAAAAUCUGUAACUUUUUUAAUACAAAUAUAUAUACUACCAUCGGUUUUAAGAAAAUCCUAAAUAUACUGCUGUAUAGAGCACUAACCAGACUGUUGUUUAAUUAGGAUUUCAGGUUUUUCAUGUCAAAUUUACUGUUAAGAACUUAAGCAUGGCCAUACUGGUUGAGACCAAGGGUCCUGUCUGCCGACAGUGGCCAAUGCCAGGUGCCCCAGAGGGAGUAAACCUAACACGUAAUGAAAUCAUCAACAUUUAAUUAGUAAAGAGCAAGCUACUUAGGAGCCCAGUCCUGCAACAUUUAUAUAUAAGUGGGCCCUCUGAACUCCAUAGGAUUACUCACAUGCCUAAAGUUGCUCAC